AACGCGAAGAACCUUACCUGGGCUCGAAAUGCAGGAGACCGGGGUAGAAAUAUCCCUUCCUCGCAAGAGGCUGCUGUAUAGGUGCUGCAUGGCUGUCGUCAGCUCGUGUCGUGAGAUGUUGGGUUAAGUCCCGCAACGAGCGCAACCCUCAUCCCUAGUUGCCACCGGGUAAUGCCGAGCACUCUAGUGAAACCGCCCCGGAUAACGGGGAGGAAGGUGGGGAUGACGUCAAGUCCUCAUGGCCUUUAUGUCCAGGGCUACACACGUGCUACAAUGGUCGGUACAAAGCGCUGCAAACUCGCAAGAGGGAGCUAAUAGCAAAAAACCGGUCUCAGUUCGGAUCGCAGGCUGCAACUCGCCUGCGUGAAGCUGGAAUCGCUAGUAAUGCCGUAUCAGAACGAUGGCGUGAAUACGUUCCCGGGCCUUGUACACACCGAUAGC
rnacentral:rRNA from 1 species